rnacentral:rRNA from 1 species
AUACGUAGGUGGCGAGCGUUAUCCGGAAUUAUUGGGCGUAAAGAGCGCGCAGGUGGUUGAUUAAGUCUGAUGUGAAAGCCCACGGCUUAACCGUGGAGGGUCAUUGGAAACUGGUCGACUUGAGUGCAGAAGAGGGAAGUGGAAUUCCAUGUGUAGCGGUGAAAUGCGUAGAUAUAGGAAGGAACACCAGUGGCGAAGGCGACUACCUGGACUGAUACUGACACUGAGGUGCGAAAGCGU